UACGUAGGGGGCAAGCGUUGUCCGGAUUUAUUGGGCGUAAAGAGCGUGUAGGCGGUUAGGUAGGUCCGUUGUGAAAACUCGAGGCUCAACCUCGAGACGCCGAUGGAAACCAUCUGACUAGAGUCCGGAAGAGGAGAGUGGAAUUCCUGGUGUAGCGGUGAAAUGCGCAGAUAUCAGGAGGAACACCGGUGGCGAAGGCGGGGUCUCUGGGGCCGAUACUGACGUGAGGAGCGAAAAGCGUGGGGGAGCGAACGGG
rnacentral:rRNA from 1 species